GACGAACGCUGGCGGCGUGCUUAACACAUGCAAGUCGAACGGAAAGGCCCUGCUUUUGUGGGGUGCUCGAGUGGCGAACGGGUGAGUAACACGUGAGUAACCUGCCCUUGACUUUGGGAUAACUUCAGGAAACUGGGGCUAAUACCGGAUAGGAGCUCCUGCUGCAUGGUGGGGGUUGGAAAGUUUCGGCGGUUGGGGAUGGACUCGCGGCUUAUCAGCUUGUUGGUGGGGUAGUGGCUUACCAAGGCUUUGACGGGUAGCCGGCCUGAGAGGGUGACCGGCCACAUUGGGCCUGCGAUACGGCCCAGACUCCUACGGGGGGCAGCAGUGGGGAAUAUUGCACAAUGGGCGGAAGCCUGAUGCGGCAACGCCGCGUGCGGGAUGGCGGCCUUCGGGUUGUAAACCGCUUUCGCCUGUGACGAAGCGUGAGUGACGGUAAUGGGUAAAGAAGCACCGGCUAACUACGUG
rnacentral:rRNA from 1 species